GAUGAACGCUGGCGGCGUGCCUAAUACAUGCCAGUCGAGCGAACAGACGAGGAGCUUGCUCCUCUGACGUUAGCGGCGGACGGGUGAGUAACACGUGGAUAACCUACCUAUAAGACUGGGAUAACUUCGGGAAACCGGAGCUAAUACCGGAUAAUAUAUUGAACCGCAUGGUUCAAUAGUGAAAGACGGUUUUGCUGUCACUUAUAGAUGGAUCCGCGCCGCAUUAGCUAGUUGGUAAGGUAACGGCUUACCAAGGCAACGAUGCGUAGCCGACCUGAGAGGGUGAUCGGCCACACUGGAACUGAGACACGGUCCAGACUCCUACGGGAGGCAGCAGUAGGGAAUCUUCCGCAAUGGGCGAAAGCCUGACGGAGCAACGCCGCGUGAGUGAUGAAGGUCUUCGGAUCGUAAAACUCUGUUAUUAGGGAAGAACAAAUGUGUAAGUAACUAUGCACGUCUUGACGGUACCUAAUCAGAAAGCAACGGCUAACUACGUG
rnacentral:rRNA from 1 species